GGGAGCAAACAGGAUUAGAUACCCUGGUAGUCCACGCCGUAAACGAUGUCGACUUGGAGGUUGUGCCCUUGAGGCGCGGCUUCCGGAGCUAACGCGUUAAGUCGACCGCCUGGGGAGUACGGCCGCAAGGUUAAAACUCAAAUGAAUUGACGGGGGCCCGCACAAGCGGUGGAGCAUGUGGUUUAAUUCGAUGCAACGCGAAGAACCUUACCUGGUCUUGACAUCCACGGAAGUUUUCAGAGAUGAGAAUGUGCCUUCGGGAACCGUGAGACAGGUGCUGCAUGGCUGUCGUCAGCUCGUGUUGUGAAAUGUUGGGUUAAGUCCCGCAACGAGCGCAACCCUUAUCCUUUGUUGCCAGCGGUCCGGCCGGGAACUCAAAGGAGACUGCCAGUGAUAAACUGGAGGAAGGUGGGGAUGACGUCAAGUCAUCAUGGCCCUUACGACCAGGGCUACACACGUGCUACAAUGGCGCAUACAAAGAGAAGCGACCUCGCGAGAGCAAGCGGACCUCAUAAAGUGCGUCGUAGUCCGGAUUGGAGUCUGCAACUCGACUCCAUGAAGUCGGAAUCGCUAGUAAUCGUGGAUCAGAAUGCCACGGUGAAUACGUUCCCGGGCCUUGUACACACCGCCCGUCACACCAUGGGAGUGGGUUGCAAAAGAAGUAGGUAGCUUAACCUUCGGGAGGGCGCUUACCACUUUGUGAUUCAUGACUGGGGUGAAGUCGUAACAAGGUAACCGUAGGGGAACCUGCGGUUG
rnacentral:rRNA from 1 species